rnacentral:rRNA from 1 species
UGGGGAAUAUUGGACAAUGGGCGAAAGCCUGAUCCAGCCAUGCCGCGUGUGUGAAGAAGGUCUUCGGAUUGUAAAGCACUUUAAGUUGGGAGGAAGGGCAGUAAGCGAAUACCUUGCUGUUUUGACGUUACCGACAGAAUAAGCACCGGCUAACUCUGUGCCAGCAGCCGCGGUAAUACAGAGGGUGCAAGCGUUAAUCGGAAUUACUGGGCGUAAAGCGCGCGUAGGUGGUUCGUUAAGUUGAAUGUGAAAGCCCCGGGCUCAACCUGGGAGCUGCAUCCAAAACUGGCGAGCUAGAGUAGGGCAGAGGGUGGUGGAAUUUCCUGUGUAGCGGUGAAAUGCGUAGAUAUAGGAAGGAACAACAGUGGCGAAGGCGACCACCUGGGCUCAUACUGACACUGAGGUGCGAAAGCGUGGGGAGCAAACAGG